rnacentral:rRNA from 1 species
GACGAACGCUGGCGGCGUGCUUAACACAUGCAAGUCGAACGGUGAACGAGGGAGCUUGCUCCCUCCGGAUCAGUGGCGAACGGGUGAGUAACACGUGAGCAAUCUGCCCCGAACUCUGGGAUAAGCGUUGGAAACGACGUCUAAUACCGGAUACGACGCGGGAGGGCAUCCUCUCCGCGUGGAAAGAACUUCGGUUCGGGAUGAGCUCGCGGCCUAUCAGCUUGUUGGUGAGGUAACGGCUCACCAAGGCGACGACGGGUAGCCGGCCUGAGAGGGUGACCGGCCACACUGGGACUGAGACACGGCCCAGACUCCUACGGGAGGCAGCAGUGGAGAAUAUUGCACAAUGGGCGCAAGCCUGAUGCAGCAACGCCGCGUGAGGGACGACGGCCUUCGGGUUGUAAACCUCUUUUAGCAGGGAAGAAGCGAAAGUGACGGUACCUGCAGAAAAAGCACCGGCUAACUACGUG